GCCGUCCCCUCCCGUCCGGCCCGACUACUAGACGUCUACGGAGGGCAGCAGUGGGGAAUCUUGCGCAAUGCGCGAAAGCGUGACGCAGCAACGCCGCGUGGGUGAAGACGGCCUUCGGGUUGUAAAGCCCUUUCAGUUGGGACGAAGCUUCGUUGGUUAAUAGCCAACCGGAGUGACGGUACCUUCAGAAGAAGCCCGGCUAACUACGUGCCAGCAGCCGCGGUAAUUC
rnacentral:rRNA from 1 species